UAAACUACGAUUAGAUACCCUAUUAUAUUAAAAGUUAUAUGUAAAACUUGAGUAGUAAUAGUUAUAACCUUCAAACUCAAAGAAUUUGACGGUAUUUUAAUCUUGUCAGAGGAAUUUGUCCCGUAAUUGAUAGUCCCCGUUUAUUUUACUUAAUUAAGUAUUCAGCUUGUAUACCGCCGUCAAAAGGAUAUUUCCAGAGAAUAUAUUCAAGAUUUUAAAUUAAAAUAGAUGUCAGGUCAAGGUGCAGCUUAUAAUUAAGAGGAGGUGAAUUACAAUAUAUCAAUAUAUAACGAAAUUAAUUUUGUAAAAAUUUUAUGAAGGUGGAUUUGGGAGUAAUAUUAUUAAAGUAAAUAAUAUGAUGGAAAGCUCUAAAAUAUGUACA
rnacentral:rRNA from 1 species